rfam:Picea glauca, whole genome shotgun sequence.
AUGUACAUUCCUACAACAUAGUGUUAAUGUAUCGGAUCCCAUUAGAACUCCGCAAUUAAGUGCCCUCAGGCUAGAGUAGUACUAGGAUGGGCGACCGCCCGGGAAGUCCUAGUAUUUUACAUG